rnacentral:rRNA from 1 species
UGGGCUUGACAUCCCGAGAAUCUCUUAGAAAUAAGAGAGUGCUAGUUUACUAGAGCUCGGUGACAGGUGCUGCACGGCUGUCGUCAGCUCGUGUCGUGAGAUGUUGGGUUAAGUCCCGCAACGAGCGCAACCCUCGUCCUUAGUUACUAACGGUUCGGCCGAGGACUCUAAGGAGACUGCCCUCGCAAGGGGGAGGAAGGUGAGGACGACGUCAAGUCAUCAUGGCCCUUAUGCCCAGGGCGACACACGUGCUACAAUGGGGAGGACAAAAAGAAGCAAUACCGCGAGGUGGAGCAAAUCUUUAAACCUUCUCUCAGUUCGGAUUGGAGUCUGCAACUCGACUCCAUGAAGCUGGAAUCGCUAGUAAUCGUGAAUCAGCCAUGUCACGGUGAAUACGUUCCGCGGGUCU